AGUGAACGCUGGCGGUAGGCCUAACACAUGCAAGUCGAACGGCAGCACAGUAAGAGCUUGCUCUUACGGGUGGCGAGUGGCGGACGGGUGAGGAAUACAUCGGAAUCUACUUUUUCGUGGGGGAUAACGUAGGGAAACUUACGCUAAUACCGCAUACGACCUACGGGUGAAAGCAGGGGAUCUUCGGACCUUGCGCGAUUGAAUGAGCCGAUGUCGGAUUAGCUAGUUGGCGGGGUAAAGGCCCACCAAGGCGACGAUCCGUAGCUGGUCUGAGAGGAUGAUCAGCCACACUGGAACUGAGACACGGUCCAGACUCCUACGGGAGGCAGCCGUGGGGAAUAUUGGACAAUGGGCGCAAGCCUGAUCCAGCCAUACCGCGUGGGUGAAGAAGGCCUUCGGGUUGUAAAGCCCUUUUGUUGGGAAAGAAAAGCAGCAGGUUAAUACCCCGCUGUUCUGACGGUACCAAAGAAUAAGCACCGGCUAACUUCGUG
rnacentral:rRNA from 1 species